CACGGGGGGAGCAAGCGUUGUUCGGAAUUACUGGGCGUAAAGGGCGUGUAGGCGGUCUGGUAAGUGGGAUGUGAAAUGCCCCGGCUCACCCGGGGACCUGCAUCCCAAACUACCUGGCUUGAGUAUGGGAGAGGAUGAGGGAAUUCCUGGUGUAGCGGUGAAAUGCGUAGAUAUCAGGAGGAACACCGGUGGCGAAAGCGCUCAUCUGGCCCAAUACUGACGCUGAGGCGCGAAAGCUAGGGGAGCAAACGGG
rnacentral:rRNA from 2 species